AAUGAACGCUAGCGGCAGGCUUAACACAUGCAAGUCGAGGGGUAGAGGCUUUCGGGUCUUGAGACCGGCGCACGGGUGCGUAACGCGUAUGCAAUCUGCCUUGUACUGGGGGAUAGCCCAGAGAAAUUUGGAUUAAUACCCCAUGGUAUUUUCGGUUGGCAUCAACUGAUUAUUAAAGUUUUUCGGUACAAGAUGAGCAUGCGUCCCAUUAGCUAGUUGGUAUGGUAACGGCAUACCAAGGCUACGAUGGGUAGGGGUCCUGAGAGGGAGAUCCCCCACACUGGUACUGAGACACGGACCAGACUCCUACGGGAGGCAGCAGUGAGGAAUAUUGGUCAAUGGUCGCAAGACUGAACCAGCCAUGCCGCGUGCAGGAUGAAGCAUCUAUGGUGUGUAAACUGCUUUUGUACGGGAAGAAACACUGCUACGUGUAGCAGCUUGACGGUACCGUAAGAAUAAGGAUUGGCUAACUCCGUGCCAGCCGCCGCUGUAACAC
rnacentral:rRNA from 1 species